AACAGUGCGCGGUCUCUGAGCGCGAUCUCUGAGCGCGGGCUAAACGCGUCGAGGAGACGCACAAAGAAAACGGUACGGGGAACUAGUUCGACGAAGUCGAGCGAGCGUUCUCGGGCGCGCGCGACGUGUACCACGAACAAUACGAUAUUCUAGGAGGAAACGGUGUAGAAGAAGGUAGAGAGGCGGAGGAGACCUCUCGGCGGGAACCGAGUUGGCAGUGGGAAGAGGAUAGGCGGCGGAGGGCGGAGAGGGCAGAGAGAGAGCGGAGGAGAAGGAGAAGAGGACGGCAGGAGGGCUGGCGAAGCACGUGAAAGGCGAUUUAAAGGAAAAAAGAAGGAGGUAGUGGCCUUUAAAAAAAAAAAGAUGAAGAAGGAAGGAACAUGGCGAACCGGUCGCAGCCUCCAUUCGUCAGCUGGGUGCUCAGCUGCAACCGGACGCGGUGACCUCGGACGCGGCUUCACGGAAAACCAAGUGAAUUUGCAAGCAAUAACGGUGUCACGCAGUGUUCGUGUCUCUCUCGUCGGUGAUUUAACGUGCUUUCGUACUCCGUACACCCGCGCUAACUCGCGCACGCAUGCACGCACGCACCUAUCAUGCUACUUUUCUACACUUCUCCGCUCGCUCUAGGAUCGCUCAUCCGUCUUCUCUACGUGUCCUCUCUCGCUUACCACUUAGACCAGUCGCCGUUCGGGAAUUUUUAAAUGCCAGUAACACACGAAGUUUCCUCUCUGACCCGACAACACUCUGUAAACGCGGUCAUCGGUCGCCUUACAAGUGAUCGAAAGUACACCCCGGCCGACUGACAGUUCAACGACAUUCGCGUUUACCAUUGCGCCAGGAACACGCUUUCCUUCGCGUAGCGUUUCGAACCGUGUACGCUGCUGGGGCUGCAACGAAGGUUCGAACAGUUCUACUGCGAAGGUGUUCUCGAAAUAAUCGUCGCCGUGAUAAACAAAUCACUGGGAAUCGGUACACUGCGGUGACGAACGAUUGGAAACAAGAGACACUCAUGGAAUAUUACAAUUCGGAUGUAAGAGGUUACAAGCUUAGUAUCACAAAUGUAAACUGCACGGUAUUUACGGUAACCUUGUAUCACGAUUCGCAACGAUGCUGGAAAUAGGGAACUCGAAUAAGGAAGAAAGACACGAGAAAAGGUCGAGAAUGUUUUCGGAAGAAACACUGUAAACCGGUCGGUGCGUUCGUUCAUCAGCUGAGAGGCCAGCUGAACCCAACGGCCGCUGUAACCUCAACUUUUCUAAUAGGCUCUGUUUCGUAGGGAACGAUUAAUUGUCGCCGCGGUUAUGCCAUGCUGAUAGAGAAAGCGAAGAAAUACCUUGGUGUACAGGUUUCAUCGACGGGUGAACCACAGAACUCGCAAAAACACUAACUUUCUGGAGAUAAAACUUUUUGAAAGCCCACUCACAAUGGAAUCUUCCAGUAGACUGGCCGAGCCGGCAAGCCGUUCCCUCUUGCGUGCACACCCACCGUUCCGUGCAAUGUCUCGCGUUUUACACAGCCGGAACCUUUUCUCAUGGACCGAUUCGAUUUUCAGAGGUGUGGAACGGUACGCGGGGAUCACAGCCCGUCGUUUCGUCACCUUAGAAAACUCUUAUUUGCAGCAGAAACGCGGCGGUGCGCAUACCGCUGACAGUUCCCGAGCUGUCACUUCACGACGAGCACGGACCUGCUGCCAUCUUAAGCCGCGACCAGGAAACAGGGCUCCGUUUGAAAGAACCGCUCUCCGACUCCGACCACCUAGCAACAAGAUCAAUAGACUAACUUACAACAAGUCGAGCAGCUCCCGAUGUAUCCUAUAGUGUUCUUAUUAAUUAUUUAAUAGAGCCAUAUUAUGUCCACGA